UUGAAAGUCUCUCCCCAGGGACCAUGACUGAGAGCUCAUUGGCUGUAGCUGGGUCACAUGGCCACAGAAAAAAGAGUCUGGGAAGAUGAGAAUAUUUUUUAGCUGGGCACUUUGCUGUCCUUACAACAGCAAGAUUUUGUUAGGAACGAAGAGGGUAGUGAUAAGCUCCUCACCUCCUGCCUGCCUAAGCUCCAGUUGCAAGGAAGGGAGAUAGAGUGAGAAGAAUAAAAAUAAAGAAGUUGCUCAUCUCUUCAUUUUACAUGAGGACCUUGAAGCUUGCACAGCAUGGUGACGGUGACACCAAAUGAAAAGAGGACUGAGAACAGACUGUAAGCAAUUCAGCCUGCCAAAAAUUCAGAUUGCUAAAUAAGGGAUACCAAUCAGAUGUUUUCUAUCUUCCCUGGAGAAACUAAGGAACUUCAAGUUUAAAAUGCCUCAUGAAGAAUUGGGAUAAAAUAUAAAGAAUUUCCUGAAG